GACGAACGCUGGCGGCGUGCUUAACACAUGCAAGUCGAACGGAAAGGCCCUGCUUUUGUGGGGUGCUCGAGUGGCGAACGGGUGAGUAACACGUGAGUAACCUGCCCUUGACUUUGGGAUAAGUUCAGGAAACUGGGGCUAAUACCGGAUAGGAGCUCCUGCUGCAUGGUGGGGGUUGGAAAGUUUCGGCGGUUGGGGAUGGACUCGCGGCUUAUCAGCUUGUUGGUGGGGUAGUGGCUUACCAAGGCUUUGACGGGUAGCCGGCCUGAGAGGGUGACCGGCCACAUUGGGACUGAGAUACGGCCCAGACUCCUACGGGAGGCAGCAGUGGGGAAUAUUGCACAAUGGGCGGAAGCCUGAUGCAGCAACGCCGCGUGCGGGAUGACGGCCUUCGGGUUGUAAACCGCUUUCGCCUGUGACGAAGCGUGAGUGACGGUAAUGGGUAAAGAAGCACCGGCUAACUACGUG
rnacentral:rRNA from 1 species